rnacentral:sRNA from 1 species
CCGUUCGUCAUCUGGGGAGUAGCCAGCCGUUCCGCUUUGAGGAACGGGCCGUUCGUCAACAUAUUUGGCCGAGAGGCCAUGGCGGGCGGGAUGGAAGGGAUUUCCCUUUCAUCGGGCGAGACCAAUGGCAUCACCUUCUCCGUCCGGCCGGGUGGGGGAAGGCGGUGGCAUUGUGUCUUUCAUCUUCGCCU